AUAGUAUUCAUCACAUACACAAAAAGAAGUGUUCACCUCACUUGGCAAGAGGGACUUGCAUGUGUCAAUAAGGACCUUGAGAUGGGAAGACCCUGGAUUAUCCAGGUGGUCACAGUGUAAUCUCAAGGGUCCUUGAAAGUGGAAGAGAAGAAUCAGAGUUGAGAAGGAGAUAAGGUGAUGGAAAUGGAGGUCAGAGUGAUGUCCUAUGAGAAGGACUAAACCCAUGCAUUGUUGACUUUCAAGAUGAAGGAAGGGAACACAGGCCAAGAAAUGUGGGCAGCUUCUAGAAGCUGGAAAAGAGAAGGAAACAGAUUCACCCAUACAGCCUCCAGAAAGGCACAGCCUUGCCAGUCCCUUGGUGUUAGCCCAUGUCAGGCUCCUAACCUACAGAACUAUAAGAAACAACAUUUGUGUUGUUUUAAGCCACUAAAUUUGUGAUAAUUUGUUACAUUAGCAAUGGAAAUACAGAGUUACAUGACUUUUUUAAUAAUAAUUUUCCAUGUAAAUGUAAUAUUUUUACAUCUUAUAGAAACUUAGAAAGUUUCAAACUCCACAUAUCACUUAUUUAUCUCAUUGCUACCCCUCUUUUUCCUCUUCUUUGGGUAUGUUAGAAGGAAUACAACUUUUGUUCUGGAUUUAUACAAAGAAACAAACUGGUGUUUUCUCAUAUUAUUCCCACUCUUAGAGUCUUAGAAGGUUUCAAAUUUGCAAACAGAGAUGCAUUGGAUAUGGUAAUGAGAUUACUGAUCUGAGAGCCAAAAAACUUCGAUGAUCCUCCUGGCCUUGCCUCUGGUUUUAUUUAACUCCUUAGCUAAUGAGGAAACCAGGAAGAUCCAGUUGAAGGUGAGAAUUCGAAGAAUUAACAUAUAUAGGCAAAGGAAAACGGAUAUAAAUUUAUAAAUACCUUAUCAGCAAAACUGAUCAAUAAUCAUCGGGCAACAAUCAACUACAUCUCCACCAGAUGCACUUUAUUUGCAUCUCUAAAGAUAAGUAUCAUUUGUGUUAAUAUCAGUUUUCUGCAACUUACAGAGCUAUAAAACAGCUCAAAGACCAUGAAAGGCACAGGCCCCAACAGAAUCAGAUAAACUGCAGAGUACACUAGAAAGGACACCCAACAUCAUCUCUUUUUCUUUCCAUUUCAAAGUCAUAUAUAAAUUUUUCUAACAGAAAUAUGGGGAUAUUUUCUAAGGUAAUAUAUUUAAAAUAGUCAUCGCAGUUCUUGGCACAUCAUGGUUAAUGCUAAAAAAUCCUCUUCCCUGUCUUUCAGUCUAAUGAUGUCACAGGAAGAGAGAUGUCUUUCAUGCAAAUGAGUUGGAAAAGUGUGUAAAAUAGGCUGUAGGGUUCAGAGGUGAGAAUAUUCACAGCUGGCGGGGAAGGUCUUCCUGGUAAAAGGGAUCUGGUCACCUCAAUCCGGUCACCUCAAUCCUAUCUCUUUUGCUUGCAACACCUAUCCCAGAGAAAAUCAUGCAGUUCCAAUACCCAUACCAACAUUUCUCUGUCAUUUUACAGCAUAUACAUCAUGACCACUUCGGUAUCUCUUUUGAUACUUGAGACUCAGUACUGUAAUUACUCCCAUUUUUUGAAAGACGAUUUUUUAGAGCAGUUUUAGGUUCACAGCAAAAUUGAACAGAAGGUACAGAGAUUUCCCAUAUACUUUCAUCCUCACAUAUGUGUAGCCUCCUCCUUUGUCAACAUCUCUCACCAGAGUGUUACAUUUGUUACAACUGGUCAACCUACAUUACCAAAUCCUAAUCCCCCAAAGUCCAUAGUUUACAUUAGGGUUCACUCUUAGAUGUGGUACAUUCUAUACGUUUGGGCAAAGUUAUAAUGGCAUGUAUCCACCAUUAUACAGAGAGUAGAUUCACUGCCCUAAAAAUCCUCUGUGCUCUGCCUAUUCAUCCCCUCCCCCACCACACACCCUCUCACCCCGGGAAACCACCCAUCACUAUCUUGUUAUAGCUUUGUUUUUUCCAGAAUGUCAUAUCAUUGGAAUCAAAUAGUACGUAGUCUUUGCAGAUUGCCUUUUUUCACUUGGUAAUAUGCAUUUAAGUUUUCUCCAUGUCUUUUUAGGACUUGAUAGCUCUUUUUAUAAGUGCUGAAUAAUAUCCCAUUAUACCACAGUUUAUUUAUCCACUCAUUUAUUAAAGGACAUUUCUGGCAAUUAUGAAUACAUCUGCAAUACACAUCCACGUGCAGGUUUUUGUGUGAACAUAAGUUUUCAACUCAUUUGGGUAAAUAUCAUGUAGUGUGAUUGCUAGAUCGCAUGGUAAGAGUAUGUUUAGUACUGUAAGAAACUGCCAAACUGUCUUCCAAAGUGGCUGUUACAUUUUGCAUUCCCACCAACAAUGAAUGAGAGUUCCUGUUACUCCACAUCCUCACCGGUAUCUAGUGUUGUCAGUGUUGUGGAUUUUGGCCGUUGUAAUAGGUGUGUGGUGAUAUAUCACAUUGCUGUCUUUAUUUGCUUCUCCCUGAUAACAUUUGCUGUGGAGCAUCUUUUCAAAUGCUAAUUUGCAGUCUGUAUAUCUUAUUUGGUGAGGUGUUUGUUCAGGUGUUUGGCCCCUACUUUAAUUGUGUCGUUUGUUUUCUUCUUGAGUUUUAAUAUUUCUUUAUAUACUUUGGAUAGCCGUUCUUUGUCAAUUACGUCCAUUGCAAAUAUUCUUCCAGUCUUUGAUUUGUCCUUUCAUUCUCUUGACAGUGUCUUUUGCAAAAUUUUGCAGAAAUUUUUAAUUAUAAUAAAGUCCAGCUUUUCAAUUGUUCCUUUCGUGAUUCAUACAUUUGGUGUUGUUUCUAAAAAGUCAUCACCAAAUGCCAGGUCAUUUGGAUUUCUCCUAUUUUAUCCGCUAGGAGCUUUAGUUUUGCAUUUUACAUUCACAAAAUAGUCUAUGAUCCAUUUUGAGUUAAUAUUUGUGAAGGGUAAGGUCUGUGUCUAGAUUCAAUUAUUUUAUGGCUAUCUAGUUGUUCCAGCACAAUUUGUUGAAAAGAUGAUCUUUUCACCAUGGUAUUGACUUUGUUCCUUUGUCAAAGAUCAUUGGACUACAUUUAAGUGGGUCUAUUUGGGGGCUCUCUAUUCUGUCCCAUUGAUCUAUUUGCUUACUAUUUUGCCAGUACCACACUGUCUUGAUUACUAUAGCUUUCCAGUAAGUCUUGAUGAAAGGUAGUGUCAGUCCUCCAACUUUGUUCUUUCCUUCUUUAUUGCAUUGACUGUUCUGGGUCUUUUGCUUCUCCAUAUAAACUUUAGAAUCAAUUUGUCAGUAUCCACAAAAUAAAUUGCUGGGAUUUGGGCUGGGACUGCAUUGAAUCUAUAGAUCAAGUUAAGAACUGACACCUUAAUAUUAUUGAUCUUCCUACUGAUGAACAUGGAAUAUCUCUUAUUUAUUUGAUUUUUAUUUCUUCAGAGUUUUGUAGUUUUCCUCAUAUAGAUUUUAUACAUAUUUUGUUUGAUUUAUAGCUAAGUAUUUCACUUUCUGGGGCAUGGGGGAAGGUGCUAAUAUAAAUUUUAUUGUUUUAUAAUUUCAAAUUCCACUUGUUUAUUGCUGGUGUAUAGGAAAGUGAUUGACUUUUGAAUAUUGAUUUUUAUAUCCUGCAACCUUGCUAUAAUCACUUAUUAAUUCCAGGAGUUUGUUUUUGUUGAUUCUUUUGGAUUUUCUGCAUAGGUGAUCAUAUCAUUUGCAAACAAAGACAGUUUUAUUUCUUCCUUCCUAAUCAGCAUACUAUUUAUUUCCUUGUCUUGUGUUAUUUCAUUAGCUAGACCUUCCCACAGGUCUAGCUUUGUUGAAAAGCAGUGCUGAAAAAUGAUAUCUUUGUUCCUGAUCUCAGCAGAAAAAUUUGUUUCUCAUGAGCAUUAUGUGAGCUUUAGGGUUUCUGUGAAUAUUCUUUAUCAAGUUUAUGAAGCUCCUCUUGAUUCCUAGCUUACUGAGAGUUUUUAUUGAAUGGGUUUUGGAUUUUGUCAAAUGCUUUCAUCUAUUGAUAUGAUUUUGUGAUUUUUCUCUUUUAGCCUGUCAAUGUGAUAGAUUACAUUAAUUGAUUUUCAUGGGUUGAACCAGCCUUGCAUAUCUGGAAUAAAUCCCACUUAGUUGUGAGGUGUUCGCUGUGACCAUUAGGAUGAAGAGGAAAGAGAUCAUCCCCUUUCUACUCCUACAUCCCCAAGUGAAGAGGACAUGGAGUACAGCCACAGCCACACUUAAAGGGCGUGUAACAUGAACAAAAAUAAAUGUUUGUUGUAAGCAAUUACAAUUCAUGAUUCAUUUAUUUCUAUAUAAU